GGAGUAGGUUAGGUUAUGUGUAUUAUAUAUAUGGCUCAUUGUAUCAUGUUUAAUAUCAAGAUAUAUAUUUUUCUCCCGUGCUUUCUCACAAGAACAUUGAAUAUUUGAAUGCAUGGGUUGUUCUAAGCCCUAACGUCUAGAGAAUUGACUUGCUACUUCACUCUGCAUUAUUCUUCAGACGAAAAUGCAGCCACAAAACACCAGCAUUGACAGAAUGUCCGAGGUUUAUUAAGCCAUUUAAUCCGAAAUUCCUUGUUUAUGAAAAAUGCAUGUUAUCAGAUAGAUUUCGUAACGUUAUUCCCUUUCUUUCCUUUCCUUCUUUUGUUUUGGCUGAUAAACCCCAUUAUGUAAAAAUGGUUAAUACCCUGUAUAUAUGUAAGGAGAUCCACCAAUAAUUGAUUUCGAACCCAGUACAAUCAAAUGGCCCAUGGUAGAAAUAAGUACAAAUAAUAACUGCAUCCUCAAUGAUUCAGAUGCAUACCUUAAGCAGAAAAUAGGUAGAAAUUGUUUCACAAUCACUUGCAGCCACUAGUUCCCGAGGCGCCGCAACCUGCAAAAAAAAGUAGUCAUUCAGAUCUACAUCUUACAAAAGGAAAUAACCGAUAAGGAUUAAGAAAUCGGAGAAAGAAGAUUUCCGGCGAUGAUUCCGGCGUCGGUAGCGAUGGCUCGUAUACCGCAGAGAGAAUGCGAGCUAGAAAGAGCUGAGAGCAAGAGGAAGUAAAGCGCAUGUCAAUUUUCGAAUGUCAGAGUUUAAACCCUCAAGUUUUUCAAAGUAACAAAUAAGCCCUUAAAGUUUAACAGCUAAGGAAAAUUGUUAAGGUUCUCCAUUCA
rnacentral:lncRNA from 1 species